CGCGUAUAGCCAAAUGAGUCGCUGUCAGAUCAAGAACUGGCACGAUCCUGACAGCCAAGACUGUGAGUGAAGAAUGAUAUGCCUUAGGUAUAAGCAUCAGUUGUUCAGUGAUUACAACUUUGUACAUGUGUACAUCUGUGAUGAGCUAUUCCAGUAGAGGAGCAAUUAAGGGUGUUAAGGUCGGCUCGGGAAGCUUCAUGCUAAGUGUCACUAGCACACCAACCAGUGCAGAUAUGGCUGGAACAAGCCCAAGCCCGUAUCUGGUAAUAGAAAGAGAGAAUACAGGAUUGCAGUUCCGCACUUCAUCUGGAGUCGAGCCUGCCCAACAUGUAGGAACCUUAGCUCAAAGAAGCAGAUGGCCUUGAAUGAAAUUUUAUUAUGACAAACGUCUUGUUUGAGUUUAAAGGAUGCAACCGAAAUACGCAUAUAAUGCUACUCCACAUAUUAUUUUGUCCAUAAAGCUCAAUGAUCCAUAAACAAAGGCACAUCCAUUGAGAUCUCGACCAACUAGGAAGCUCUGCAUGCUCACCCCUG